AUUGAACGCUGGCGGCAGGCCUAACACAUGCAAGUCGAACGAGUGGCGGACGGAUGAGUACUGUCUGGGAAACUGCCUGAUGGAGGGGGAUAACUACUGGAAACGGUAGCUAAUACCGCAUACCAUCGGAUGUGCCCAUAUGGGAUUAGCUAGUAGGUGGGGUAAAUGCUCACCUAGGCGACGAUCCCUAGCUGGUCUGAGCGGAUGACCAGCUACACUGGAACUGAGACACGGACCAGACUACGACGGGAGGCAGCAGUGGGGAAUAUUGCACAAUUGGGGAAAGACGGAUGCAGCCAUGCCGCGAGUAUGAAGAAGGCCUUCGGGUUGUAAAGUACUUGCAGCGGGGAGGCGGUACCCGCAGAAGAAGAACCGGCUAACUCCGUGCCAGCAGCCGCGGUAAUAC
rnacentral:rRNA from 1 species